AACGGGUGAGUAACGCGUGAGGAACCUGCCUCAAAGAGGGGGACAACAGUUGGAAACGACUGCUAAUACCGCAUAAGCCCACGGCUCGGCAUCGAGCAGAGGGAAAAGGAGCAAUCCGCUUUGAGAUGGCCUCGCGUCCGAUUAGCUAGUUGGUGAGGUAACGGCCCACCAAGGCGACGAUCGGUAGCCGGACUGAGAGGUUGAACGGCCACAUUGGGACUGAGACACGGCCCAGACUCCUACGGAGGCAGCAUG
rnacentral:rRNA from 1 species